rnacentral:lncRNA from 1 species
GGGUACCUAAUUUUUUCAGGCAUCAGUCACCUCUUCCUUUGUUCCAACAUCACCGUAGAAGAAGAAAGUCAGUGCCACAUUACCUAUUUUAGUGGUGGAGGCAUAGAGGAACAUCGAAGGAAGGGAGGAAGAAGAUAAACAGUGCAUUGUCUACAGCCGUUGGAUGAAAAUCCGAUAGUGCCUAAAGAAAGUGACUGGUAAAAAAAAGAAAAAAUCGACGCCUGCCUGACAUAUAGUCGGUCACUAAAAGAUAACUCUCUCACACAUAAAAGAAACAAAUAACCUGACCCAUGGUACAUGAGGUUAGCAAAAUCAAAAAUUCAUAAAGAAUCAAAUAUCCUUCCAAGUGAAGACAUCAAAAACGUGCUAAAUGUAAACACACUAGUACUUAAUAAUUAAUCGACGUAAGACAUGCAUAAUAGAGCUUUUCUUUGUCGAAUCUAAGAAGGCUCGGUAGAUCACUUUUGCUGCUAAUUAAGAUGUAAAUAUAGGGGCUAUGCUUGGCUCGAUGUCUUUUUGUCGGCGUUGCGGAUGUAGGACUCGUACGCGGCGGCGCUAGCAAGCAUGCACUUUCGCAGCGCCUCCCCCGCCUCGAAGCACGCCGCUUGCUUCUCCGUAGAUCCGUCGACCUCCUGGAACGCGUCCAGCACGGCUUCGAACUGAUCCCUGCAUCCGGGGAGGCACAUGAAAGCCUUGACUGCCCCGUCGAUCAUCUGCUCAGGAGAAGAAGACGACGACCACGACGA